rnacentral:misc_RNA from 1 species
GAUGAAGAACGUAGCGAAACGCGAUAUGUAAUGUGAAUUGCAGAAUUCAGUGAAUCAUCGAAUCUUUGAACGCACAUGGCGCCUUCCAGUAUCCUGGGAGGCAUGCCUGUCCGAGCGUCAUUGCUGCCCUCAAGCACGGCUUGUGUGUUGGGCCUCCGUCCUCCUCCCGGGGGACGGGCCCGAAAGGCAGCGGCGGCACCGCGUCCGGUCCUCGAGCGUAUGGGGCUUCGUCACCCGCUCUUGUAGGCCCGGCCGGCGCUUGCCGACACAUCAAUCUUUUUUCCAGGUUGACCUCGGAUCAGGUAGGGAUACCCGCUGAACUUAAGCAUAUCAAUAAGCGGAGGA